GCCAAUUCCAGUCCAAAGCUUUGUUUGCCAAG
rnacentral:piRNA from 1 species